AUAUUCUGAUACUACUUCAUAUACUAAAAUUGGAAUGAUACCGAGAAGACUAGCAUGGCCCCUGUGCAAUGAUGUGCAACUUCGUGAAGUGAUCCAUAAUAUU
ensembl:snRNA U6 U6 spliceosomal RNA